rnacentral:rRNA from 1 species
GAUGAACGCUGGCGGCGUGCCUAAUACAUGCAAGUCGAGCGAACAGACGAGGAGCUUGCUCCUCUGACGUUAGCGGCGGACGGGAGAGUAACACGUGGAUAACCUACCUAUAAGACUGGGAUAAUUUCGGGAACCGGAGCUAAUACCGGAAAAUAUAUUGAACCGCAUGGUUCAAUAGUGAAAGACGGUUUUGCUGUCACUUAUAGACGGAUCCGCGCCGCAUUAGCUAGUUGGUAAGGUAACGGCUUACCAAGGCAACGAUGCGUAGCCGACCUGAGAGGGUGGUCGGCCACCCUGGAACUGAGCCACGGUCCAGACUCCUGCGGGAGGCAGCAGUCGGGAAUCUUCCGCAAUGGGCGAAAGCCUGACGGAGCAACGCGGCGUGAGUGAUGAAGGUCUUCGGAUCGUAAAACUCUGUUAUUAGGGAAGAACAAAUGUGUAAGUAACUAUGCACGUCUUGACGGUACCUAAUCAAAAAGCCACGGCUAACUACGUG